rnacentral:lncRNA from 1 species
UCUUGGAGACCAUGCAUCUAUAAUCAAGCAUUAUCAAUAUUUUUUGAGAAAUUUCAUUAUUUGGUGUGUUCAAAGAGAACCAAUUCCUUAUCACCAUCUAAAAAGGAUGUUAUUGAUUAUUGAAUUUUUUGUAAAACACAAGCUUUUCAUAUUCAGCAUGUUUAAUGUGAAUUUUCCUUGUUCUAUGUUGAAACAGACUUUAUCCUUUAAGAAAUAGAUGUUACUUAAUUUGUUUGUUUACUACAUGUAUUUGUGGAAGGUUGCUUAAACCUGAAUCUGCAAUUGAAGAGUUAGAUACUCUUUCACUUGGGAGAUGAAUUUAGUGCUAUCUUUUUUAAGUUCUUAAUAUUCAUUGGAGAAUUUAACAUUGAAGACUGUCUUUUAUACUUGUGUCUUUAUUUGCCUUGACUACAGCUGCCUUAAAGUACUAUCUUUAUCAGCUGUAGAUUUACAUUCUAUGUUUCUUCAUUCAGAGACAUGGCACUUUAUUUUUUCAUAUACAUGAGUUUUUGAAAAAUACUAGAUCUGUUAGUUAGUUUACCUAACGAGGUGAUCAAAGGUUUUGAUAAACCAAAACUUUGUGUUGUUAAGACAAUGAUUUAUCAUGUUUUG